GGAGCCCUGAGAGCCCCAUGGGAGGGGGGGUCACCCCACAUCGGGGUCACCUCACAUCAGGGUCACCCCACAUCGGGGUCACCCCCACCUUGGGGACACUCCCACCUCGGGGUCACUCCACAGCUGGGGAGUCCCCCACGGAGUCUGUGGGGUCUGGAGAGUUGUAUUUUAUUGGGGAGAGUAACAUAUUUGGGGGGCCACCUCCAUGCUCCAGGAGUAGGGGCAGUCGUGUCCUGGUGUGGGGUCACCCCUGUCCCGGUUUUGGGGUCAACGUCCCAUCUUGUUUUUGGGGUCAAUCGCACCCCAAAUUUGGGGUCAAAGUCCCAUCUUGGGUUUGGGGUCAAUCGUGUCCCGGAUUUGGGGUCAAUCCCCUUUCAUGGUGUUGGGGUCAACGUCCCAUCAGCCCCCAUGUCCCCUUUUUGAGGAAGCCCCUCCCCGUUGCCCUGGUGACAGGCCGUGCCCAUGUUGUCAUAGUGACAGACCACGCCCCUACAGUUGCCUUGAAAAAGAGACCACACCCCCAUCACCUUGGCAACUGGCCACACCCCCUUCCCAUUGCCUUGGAACCCGGCCACUCCCUUGGUGACAGGCCACGCCCCCUUCGUCUGGAAGCCCCUCCCUGUUUCCUCGGUUUCUGUUGCCCUGGCUACAGGCCGUACCCUCUUCUCGACAGGCCCCCGUUGCCAUGACGACAGACUACGCCCCUCCCCGUUGCCUUGAAAACAGGCCACACCUCCUCCCGUUGCCAUAGCGACAACCAACGCCCCUCUUUCCAUUUUCUUGCUGACAGGCCACGCCCUCUUUUACGAAAAGCCCCAACCAUUUAUUUGUCCACAGGCCACGCCCCCUCAUCGUUGCCACUGCCUACAAACCACGCCCCUCCACUGUUUCCAUGACAACAAGCCCGCCGGGCCCCUCCCCGCCGUCCUAAACCGGAAGCGGCGCGCUGUGCGCGGUGACGUCACAGCCGAAAGCGGCGGCCCCGGCGCGGCGCUGCCGGAGCAGCCCCUUCGACCCCCCACCGCGGACCCCCCCCGGGAUCCCCCGGAACCCCCGCCCCGACCCCCGGCCACGGCCAUGGCCGAGGCCCCGCCCCCGGGACACGGCGCUAUGAUGCGGUUCAUGCUGCUGUACAGCUGCCAAGGGAAGCCGAGGCUGCAGAAGUGGUACCUGGCCAUGGCCAACAAGGACAAGAAGAAGAUGGUUUGGGAGCUCAUGCAGGUGGUGCUGGCCCAGAAACCCAAAAUGUGCAGCUUCCUCGAGUGGAGGGACCUCAAGGUGGUCUACAAGAGGUGAAGCCCCCUGCAAAAAACCCUGGGGAAAUCGGGUUUUCUGCCCCGAGACGGCAUUUUCCCCACCCCAAACAAAAGGCGGUUUACGACAAAAAUAAUGAUGAAAAAGUGAGUUUUAACCCCAAAAAAGUGGUUUUUCUCCUGCCAAAAACCAGUUAUUCAAGGAAAGCUCGCCUUGCAGCAGAGAAAAGCAGCUUGCCUGUCAAAAAAAGUGGCUUUUCCAAAAAAAAGUAGGUUUUUCACCAAAAAAGGAGCUUUAUUACCAAAAAAAGAUUUUCAACAAAAUAGAAGAGAUUUUCCAAUAAAAAACACAGCUUUUCCAAAAAAAAACCAGAUUUUCCACAAAAAAGGAGCUUUUCCACCAAAAAAGAGCUUUCUCACCAAAAAAAGCAGCUUUUCCACAAAAAACCAGCAGCUUUUCCACAAAAAAGCACCUUUUCAAAAAAGGAGUUUUUCCACCAAAAAGGGAGCUUUCCCACAAAAAAAGCAGCUUUCCCACCAAAAAAAGCAUAUUUUUCCCCCAAAAAACCCACCUUCUUCCCAAAAUCUGCCUUUCCCAGCAAAAAUCCACCUUUCUCACCAAAAAUCCAGCUUUUCCCUGAAAAAUCCACCUGUUCCACCUAAAAUUCUCCCCAAAAAUCCCCUUUUUUCUUCCCUCAAAAAAAUCCCCCUUUUUCCCUAAAAAUCCACCUUUUCCACCUAAAAAUCCACCUUUUCCACCUAAAAAUUCCCCUUUCUUCCCAAAUUCCAUCUUCUCUCCCAAAAAACCCAUCUUUCCCAUCCCAAUUUUGACCCCUCUCAACACCUCAAGUUGAGUUGGCCAUGAAGAGUUGACCACAAAGAGUUGGCCACAGUUGGGUUGGCCAUGGUGGGUACAACCCUCCAACAUUUGGGUGUUCCUUAGGGACACCCCCCAUCUCUGGCUGGGUUUUUGGGGGUUCAGGGCCCCCCCCAUAAUUUUGCCCCCCCCGGUCCAUUUUGAUGCCUCCUGUGUUGGGUUGACCAUAAAGAAUUGACCAUAAAGAGUUGGCCAUGAAGAGCUGGCCAUGGUUGGGUUGACCAUGGUGGGCACAACCCCCUCACCUUCGGGCGUUCCUUGGGGACACCUCCCACCUCUGAGUGGGUUUUUGGGGGUCCAGGAGACCCCCUUUUUACCCCCCCACCCUCAUGAACUUCAGUGAGGCUCUGUAGUGUCCCAAUGGCCCCUUGAUUCUAGGAGUUUCUGCAGUGUCCCAAUAACCCCUUGGUUCCAUGAGGUCCUGCAGUGUCCUAAUAGCCUCCUGAUUCCACAAGGUUUCCCAGUGUCCCAGUGUUCCUUUUGUUCCAUGAGGGUCUGCAGUGUAACAGGGUCCCUUUGGGGCCAUAAGGCCUUGCAGGGCCACAGUGGCCCCUUGAUUCCAUGAGGUUCCACAGUCUCCAGAGGUUCCUUUAGUUCCAUGAGGCCCUGCAGUCCCCAAAUGCCCUUCGGAUUCUCGGAAAUAUCCCAUUGUCCCAGGGUCCCUUGUGCUUCAGAAGUAGCUGCAGUGGGACAGUGGCCCCGUGGUUCCAUGAGCUCUGCAGUGUUCCAGGAAUCCUUGGGUUCCAGGAGAGCCUGCAGUUUCACAAGGACCACUGGAACCCAGGAGGUUCUGCAGGGUCACAGUGGCCCCUGGAUUCUUUGAGGUUCAGAAAUAUCUCAGGGCUCCCUUGGUUCCAGGAGGACACGCAUGUCAGCAGGAACCCUUGGUUCCAGGAGGUUUGACAGUGUCCCAGAAUUCCUUUGAUUUCAUGAGGCCCGAGAUUGUCCCAAUGGACUCCUGAUUCCAUGAGCCCCCUCAAUGUCACAAUGGUCCCUUGGUUCCAGGAGUUUCUGCAGCAUCCCAGGGUUUCUUUUGUUCCA